rnacentral:rRNA from 1 species
AUACGAAGGGUGCAAGCGUUACUCGGAAUUACUGGGCGUAAAGCGUGCGUAGGUGGUUGUUUAAGUCUGUCGUGAAAGCCCUGGGCUCAACCCGGGAAUGGCGAUGGAAACUGGGCGACUAGAGUGUGGCAGAGGGUAGUGGAAUUCCUGGUGUAGCAGUGAAAUGCGUAGAGAUCAGGAGGAACAUCCGUGGCGAAGGCGACUGCCUGGGCCAACACUGACACUGAGGCACGAAAGCGUGGGGAGCAAACAGGAUUAGAUACCCUGGUAGUCCACGCCCUAAACGAUGCGAACUGGAUGUUGGGUGCAAUUUGGCACGCAGUAUCGAAGCUAACGCGUUAAGUUCGCCGCCUGGGGAGUACGGUCGCAAGACUGAAACUCAAAGGAAUUGACGGGG